AAUGAACGCUGGCGGCGCGCCUAAUACAUGCAAGUCGAGCGAGAAGACGUAGCAAUACGUUUGUAAAGCGGCGAACGGGUGAGGAAUACAUGGGUAACCUACCCUCGAGUGGGGAAUAACUAGCCGAAAGGUUAGCUAAUACCGCGUACGCUCCUUGGACUUCGGUUCAGGGAGGAAAGCGAUACCGUGGGUAUCGCGCUCUUGGUUGGGCUCAUGUCCUAUCAGCUUGUUGGUGAGGUAACGGCUCACCAAGGCUUCGACGGGUAGCUGGUCUGAGAGGACGAUCAGCCACACUGGCACUGCGACACGGGCCA
rnacentral:rRNA from 1 species